UACAGAGGCCACAAGCGUUAGACGGAAUCACUGGGCUUAAAGCGUGUGUAGGCGGGAUGGUAAGUACCUUGUGAAAUCCCACAGCUUAACUGUGGAAAUGCUUGGUAUACUGCCGUUCUUGAGUCACCUAGGGGCAGCUGGAACAGAUGGUGGAGCGGUGAAAUGCAUAGAUAUCAUCUGGGAACGCCAAUGGUGCAGACAAGCUGCUGGGGGUGUACUGACGCUGAGGCACGAAAGCCAGGGGAGCAAACGGG
rnacentral:rRNA from 1 species